UACGUAGGGGGCAAGCGUUAUCCGGAUUUACUGGGUGUAAAGGGAGCGUAGACGGCAGGGCAAGUCUGGAGUGAAAGCCCGGGGCCCAACCCCGGGACUGCUUUGGAAACUGUGGAGCUAGAGUGCUGGAGAGGUAAGUGGAAUUCCUAGUGUAGCGGUGAAAUGCGUAGAUAUUAGGAGGAACACCAGUGGCGAAGGCGGCCUGCUGGACGAUGACUGACGUUGAGGCUCGAAAGCGUGGGGAGCAAACAGG
rnacentral:rRNA from 1 species